rnacentral:rRNA from 1 species
AGCGAACGCUGGCGGCAGGCCUAACACAUGCAAGUCGAGCGCCCCGCAAGGGGAGCGGCAGACGGGAGAGUAACACGUGGGAACGUACCCUUCGGUUCGGAACAACCCAGGGAAACUUGGGCUAAUACCGGAUACGUCCGAAAGGAGAAAGAUUUAUCGCCGAGGGAUCGGCCCGCGUCUGAUUAGCUAGUUGGUGGGGUAACGGCCCACCAAGGCGACGAUCAGUAGCUGGUCUGAGAGGAUGAUCAGCCUCACUGGGACUGAGACACGGCCCAGACUCCUACGGGAGGCAGCAUUGGGGAAUAUUGGACAAUGGGCGCAAGCCUGAUCCAGCCAUGCCGCGUGGGUGAUGAAGGCCCUAGGGUUGUAAAGCCCUUUCGGUGGGGAAGAUAAUGACGGUACCCGCAGAAGAAGCCCCGGCUAACUUCGUGCCAGCAGCCGCUGUAAUAC